UAGGGUUCGAUUCUGGCUCAGGACGAACGCUGGCGGCGUGCUUAACACAUGCAAGUCAAAGGAGAAAGGUUCCUUCGGGAAACGAGUAAACUGGCGAACGGGUGAGUAACACGUAGGUAACCUGCCCUAGAGACUGGGAUAACACCGCGAAAGCGGUGCUAAUACUGGAUAAUGCAGCGGGUCCUUCGGGACAUUGUUGUUAAAACUGGCUUCGGCUAGUACUUUAGGAUGGGCCUGCGCCCGAUUAGCUUGUUGGUAGGGUAACGGCCUACCAAGGCGAUGAUCGGUAGCUGGUCUGAGAGGAUGAUCAGCCACACUGGGAUUGAGAUACGGCCCAGACUCCUACGGGAGGCAGCAGUGGGGAAUUUUGCGCAAUGGGCGAAAGCCUGACGCAGCAACGCCGCGUGACCGAUGAAGCUUCUCGGAGUGUAAAGGUCUGUCGUGAGGGAAGAAAAAUCCGGAUGUAAAUAAUGUUCGGACGUGACGGUACCUCACAAGAAAGCACCGGCUAACUUAGUGCCAGCCGCCGCGGUAAUUCA
rnacentral:rRNA from 1 species